GCUGCUUUGAGAAGCGGCCUGGAUUUUUGGCAUUCAGCGAGCUAGAAAUAACUGGCUGGGCCCUUGGCGCUGCGGUCACAAAUACCUUGCCCUUCGGAGAUGGCAGCCCAAUUGUAGGGGCUUUUCUGCAAUGCAGAUCUGUUCUCUGAAGGUAGAUUCUUUGCUGUCUGAGCCACCAGGGAAGCCAAUUUGAGCAAACUUUGAGAGACAGUGAAGGACAGAGGAGCCUGGUGUCACAGUCAGACACAGCUUAACUACUGACCAACAACAAAGUAAGUGUGAAAUAGGGCAUUUUAACAGUGAGGAAGUUGUCCAGUGACUUGACUCAAAUUCCAUCUGCCCAAAGGGGACACUGGAACUGGCAAGAACUGCUUCUAGAUUAAAAUGGUU
ensembl:lncRNA